rnacentral:rRNA from 1 species
GACGGAAGGUGCAAGCGUUACUCGGAAUUACUGGGCGUAAAGCGUGCGUAGGUGGUUCGUUAAGUCCGAUGUGAAAGCCCUGGGCUCAACCUGGGAAUGGCAUUGGAUACUGGCGACCUAGAGUGCGGUAGAGGGUGGCGGAAUUCCCGGUGUAGCAGUGAAAUGCGUAGAUAUCGGGAGGAACAUCCGUGGCGAAGGCGGCCACCUGGACCAGCACUGACACUGAGGCACGAAAGCGUGGGGAGCAAACAGGAUUAGAUGAACCCCGGUAG